GGUUUCGUAGCUCAAUUGGUCAGAGCGACCGACUCAUAAUCGGUAGGUUCAGGGUUCAAUCCCCUACGAAACCA
rnacentral:tRNA from 1 species